GGAGAGGUGCCGGAGUUGGUCGAACGGGCCUGACUCGAAAUCAGGAGUGUCUUUUGGGCACCCAGGGUUCGAAUCCCUGCCUCUCCGCCA
rnacentral:tRNA from 2 species